rnacentral:rRNA from 1 species
AGUGGACGCUGGCGGUAGGCCUAACACAUGCAAGUCGAACGGCAGCACAGUAAGAGCUUGCUCUUACGGGUGGCGAGUGGCGGACGGGUGAGGAAUACAUCGGAAUCUACUUUUUCGUGGGGGAUAACGUAGGGAAACUUACGAUAAUACCGCAUACGAUCUACGGGUGAAAGCAGGGGAUCUUCGGACCUUGCGCGACUGAAUGAGCCGAUGCCGGAUUAGCUAGUUGGGGGGGUAAAGGCCCACCAAGGCGACGAUCCGUAGCUGGUCUGAGAGGAUGAUCAGCCACACUGGAACUGAGACACGGUCCAGACUCCUACGGGAGGCAGCAGUGGGGAAUAUUGGACAAAGGGCGCAAGCCUGAUCCAGCCAUACCGCGUGAGUGAAGAAGGCCUUCGGGUUGUAAAGCCCUUUUGUUGGGAAAGAAAAGCAGCAGGUUAAUACCCCGCUGUUCUGACGGUACCCAAAGAAUAAGCACCGGCUAACUUCGUG